rnacentral:rRNA from 1 species
UACGUAGGGUGCAAGCGUUGUCCGGAAUUAUUGGGCGUAAAGGGCUCGUAGGCGGUCCAUCGCGUCGGGAGUGAAAAGCUGGGGCUUAACCCCAGUCCUGCUUCCGAUACGGGUGGACUAGAGGUAGGUAGGGGAGAACGGAAUUCCAGGUGUAGCGGUGAAAUGCGUAGAUAUCGGGAGGAACACCAGUGGCGAAGGCGACUUCUUGGCCUGUUCUUGACGCUGAGGCGCGAAAGCUGGGGGAGCAAACGGG